AUUGAACGCUGGCGGCAGGCUUAACACAUGCAGGUCGAGCGGAGAUGAGGUGCUUGCACCUUAUCUUAGCGGCGGACGGGUGAGUAAUGCUUAGGAAUCUGCCUAUUAGUGGGGGACAACAUUCCGAAAGGAAUGCUAAUACCGCAUACGCCCUACGGGGGAAAGCAGGGGAUCUUUGGACCUUGCGCUAAUAGAUGAGCCUAAGUCGGAUUAGCUAGUUGGUGGGGUAAAGGCCUACCAAGGCGACGAGCUGUAGCGGGUCUGAGAGGAUGAUCCGCCACACUGGGACUGAGACACGGCCCAGACUCCUACGGGAGGCAGCAGUGGGGAAUAUUGGACAAUGGGCGGAAGCCUGAUCCAGCCAUGCCGCGUGUGUGAAGAAGGCCUUUUGGUUGUAAAGCACUUUAAGCGAGGAGGAGGCUACCUGGAUUAAUACUCUAGGAUAGUGGACGUUACUCGCAGAAUAAGCACCGGCUAACUCUGUGCCAGCAGCCGCGGUAACAC
rnacentral:rRNA from 1 species